rnacentral:snRNA from 1 species
GCACAUAUGAGUAUACUGAAAUUGGAACAAUAUAGAGAGGAUUAGCAUGACCCCUGGGCAAGGAUGACAUGCAAGCUCAUGAAGUGCUCCAUAUAUAU